AACGGCGUUAAACAAAUUACUAUAACUUAUUACGAUUUGCGCUUUGAAUAGUCAAUCGACAGAGUUCAGUCUAGCGAAAAAGUACUCCGUCCACAGCGAUGGUCAACGCUGGCCGCGCGCCGUAUGUACGGACCGCAUAGGCCGCGAGUAUUCAGCGCU